rnacentral:misc_RNA from 1 species
UGCAGGAGUGAGCCUGCUCGCGAUAGCGGUGUGUCAGUUGAUGAAUCCAUGCCUGACAGACUGCUAUCGCGAGCAGGCUCACUCCUACC